GUAUACUAGCUUCCUACGGGAGGCAGCAGUGGGGAAUAUUGGACAAUGGGCGCAAGCCUGAUCCAGCCAUGCCGCGUGAGUGAUGAAGGCCCUAGGGUUGUAAAGCUCUUUUGUGCGGGAAGAUAAUGACGGUACCGCAAGAAUAAGCCCCGGCUAACUUCGUGCCAGCAGCCGCGGAAAUYAUGUUAG
rnacentral:rRNA from 1 species